UCCUGCUCACACAUCUUCUCCUCCUGCUCCCACAUCUUCUCUUCCUGUUCCUGCAUCAUCUCCUCCUGCUCUCGUAUCUUCCCCUCCUGCUCCCCCAUCUUCUCUUCCUGUUCCUGCAUCAUCUCCUCCUGCUCUCGUAUCUUCUCCUCCUGCUCCCCCAUCUUCUCUUCCUGUUCCUGCAUCAUCUCCUCCUGCUCUCGUAUCUUCUCCUCC
rnacentral:lncRNA from 1 species